AUAAUUCGUAUCAAUAUUUUUUUCUUCCAAAUCUAUAAAGGCUAAAAUACAUAAAACAUUUAUGUCAAAACUUGAUUUUUCACUUUUCUCUCAUGUUAUUUAAAAACCUAUAUUUUAUCCCUUUUGUAAAAUAAAAAAUAUUCACUUCACCCCCUACCGUUAAUAAUCCGUUAGGGUUCCGUUUAUAAAAUAUUAUUAUAUUUUUUUAUGCCAAAAAUAUCCUCAGUCUUCUCUCCUAUAAACAUGAUGAGAGGCAAAAUGGUAAAAGGCAAAAUGAUCAUUUUAUUAUCACAAUUCACACCGUACACCCUGUGAACAUUUUUCAUUUUACAAGGGGGCAAAAUGUAGGUUUUAAAUGACAGGAAAAAAAGUAAAAAAUCGGAUUUUGAGAGGGGGGUUUUCUGUAAUUUAGCCAUCUAUAAAUAUGAUGGUAAAUACUCUUU
rnacentral:lncRNA from 1 species